AUUGAACGCUGGCGGCAGGCCUAACACAUGCAAGUCGAACGAGUGGCGGACGGGUGAGUAAUGUCUGGGAAACUGCCUGAUGGAGGGGGAUAACUACUGGAAACGGUAUCUAAUACCGCAUACCAUCAGAUGUGCCCAGAUGGGAUUGGCUAGUUGGUGGGGUAACGGCUCACCAAGGCGACGAUCCCUAGCUGGUCGGAGAGGCUGACCUGCCACACUGGAACGGAGACACGGUCAAGACUCCUACGGGAGGCAGCAGUGGGGAAUAUUGAACAAUGGGCGCAGUCCUGAUGCAGCCAUGCCGCGUGUAUGAGGAGGGCCUUCGGGUUGUAAAGUACUUUCGGCGGGGAGGCGUUACCCGCAGAUGAAGCACCGGCUAACUCCGUGCCAGCAGCCGCGGUAAUAC
rnacentral:rRNA from 1 species